rnacentral:rRNA from 1 species
CAGCAGCCGCGGUAAUACGAAGGGUGCAAGCGUUACUCGGAAUUACUGGGCGUAAAGCGUGCGUAGGCGGUCUGUUAAGUCCGUUGUGAAAGCCCUGGGCUCAACCUGGGAAUUGCAGUGGAUACUGGCGGGCUAGAGUGCGGUAGAGGAUGGUGGAAUUCCCGGUGUAGCGGUGAAAUGCGUAGAGAUCGGGAGGAACACCCGUGGCGAAGGCGGCCAUCUGGACCAGCACUCACGCUGAGGCACGAAAGCGUGGGGAGCAAACAGGAUUAGAUACCCUGGUAGUCCACGCCCUAAACGAUGCGAACUGGACGUUGGGUGGACUUAGCCACUCAGUGUCGAAGCUAACGCGUUAAGUUCGCCGCCUGGGGAGUACGGUCGCAAGACUGAAACUCAAAG